rnacentral:lncRNA from 1 species
ACCCCAAAGUUGACAGCCCAAGAGCAGAAAUGCACAUGCAAGCAGUAACUGUACCUGUGACCACAAAUGUAGGAUGCAGCAAAAUCUCAUUUUCCCUUUGUGCUCCUGCAGUCUGGCAUAAUAAGGAAACUCAGAAAUAUUUCAUGGUGCUCUGUGAUACAAUAAAGAUCCCAGAUACCAUCAAAGCUGUUACAGGUCUCCAGGAAUAUCUCCAUUUCAGUCUCAGAUGUGAUGAUAUCUAAGCACUAACUGGGAACCUCUGUUCUCAUCAGUAUAUACCAUCAGGACAGCCUUCCCAAGGUAUCCAAAGGGGCUGAGCUGGUCCCUACAUUGCUGCCUGUCUGCUCUCCCCCAGCUGGUUGAGGAUUGACUGGCGAUCACCCCAGGAUCAAGGUACC